rnacentral:lncRNA from 10 species
UGAUUUCCUAGACAUGAGAUGAUGAACCUCAAGUACCACCCCAGACAACAAGGCUGCUUCAUCAGGACACAAACCUGCCUGUACCAGGACCUCUGACCUGUGUGCAGCAGAGACACUGAGGAUACCAUUGGCAUCAAUGUCAAAAGUGACUUCAAUCUGAGGAACACCUUGGGGUUCAGGAGGAAACCAGCACUGAAUUCCAAGACAAAACAACCCUUCUUAAAGACAUACAAGAAACCUUGCCUGAUAUACAAAUAUAAUAACCUUAAAAAAAAUUCACAGACCUGAG